GACAUCCCGACAGAGCAGCACAUGCCUGUCCCUUCUUUCAUUGGCGGUGCGAGAAAGAGGAUCCACCCGCUCCCUUAUGCUGAUCUGAGCCUUCCUUGUGAGUUGGUUCCAAUUUUUUUACUGACUAUAUCUUCUACUUUUUGCUUUGUGAAUCCUAUGAAAUGGUGUAAGUGAAUGCAUUAUGGUUAUUGUGUAUCAUAUCAACAGACAUAUGUUCGUUCAUUAUAAGUGCAAAUUGUGGUUGGAUCAUGUUAAGAACUUAUGUCUGCUGUAAUUGAUUUUGGUGAAGAACAACAACUGCAUUUUUUUUCUCUAGCUUGUGAACGUUGAACACUUUGGUCUUCCUGUUGGUGCUUCUUUCUCAUGUGUGUACGUGUUAUAUUUAUGAAUUUUCUAUGGGUUUGAAGUGGUUGUGAUCUAUACUUUGAAGAUCCAUGAACUGGACUAGGCUUUCUGAAUUCUGAUAGAAUGAGAAGCCUGCGGUCAAUAUCUAAAUGUUCCUCUACCAUCACAGCUUGAGUUAAUAUAUAAGGAUUUGGAUUUUGUUUACGAUGUUUUAACUCUGAUGUGGUAAAGAUGAUGAAACCAGCACUUUUAGUUGAGUGAAAUCUAAGAAAACAAUUACAUCGAGGUGUUGCAUGUAUGAUGUAUGUCAGUUCAUGUUCUUCAGAAUUUAAGUGUUUCGGAUGAUCAUGCCAUGUUUCUAUGGAUUGCCAUUUUGUCCAACGAGAGCAGUGAAACAUCAAAUUUAGUUAACCAUCUCAUAUUUGCAUUUGCUUUGUGAUGUUUCCGUUCUACCUACAAUAUUUGAAAUAAGACAUUGUAUUGCUCACUGGGAACAAGCAUCACUUUCUUGGAAUAUCUUUAUCUUCCUUGAGUUUUUAAGUGAGUUUGUGCUACGCUGCCAAGGAGCUCCAGCAAGCAUGUGUACCUGCUCUCCUUGCCCCUGAGCUCCUGUACCGGCAACAGCAACUCGUAGCAGAACCAGAAGCAUUACACUGAGGCGCUCAGAAGAAACCCAAAGGAUCCAAAGGUAUACGGCAACACGGCUGCCUGUUACACAAGACGGGUGCCAUGCCUGAAGUACUGAAGGAUACUGAGAAGUGCAUCGAACUAGAUACCACAUUCUACAAGGGAUACACAAGGAAGGAUGCAACCCUGUUUGUUUCUAAAGAAUGCGACAAAGCAAUGGAACGAGCGUGCCUGAGUGGUAACAUAUGUUCCUGACUGUCUUAGCGAUAUAACAACACAGUCUGAAUAUGAUCUCCAGCAAACAAACAAACCACUAUUAUUGGAGCCUGGACAAUGAUAUCGAAGGAAUUUUUGCUCUGAGCAAUGCAGUCCACGAAGAAUAGCAGUUAUGAAGAGUUUCCUCAAAGAAGUCGUUCUAAACGUCCAGCGAUACAUCUGUCUAACGUAUCUCUGCCUAUCUACAUUCCUUGCUUAUAACAUUGUAAAUGAUCGUUCGUAAGGUUCUUAGAAAACAUGUAUCAUCAGCAACCAUCUAUUUA